ensembl:lncRNA
ACGCCUUCACCUGAAUGAGCCUCUCUCACAGAUGCCCUAACUACGUCGACCGGCCAUGGCUGUAAUAUUUACUAUUGAUUGACACACUAUGAGGUGUUCAAUCUGAAAAUCAACUAUUCGGCACAUACACGUAGUUCUAACCUGACCAUCCGUAUGCGAAUGGGAUUCUGUAUGAAAAUGCGUGUUGGAGAUGUAGGCUAUUUCUAAAGGAACCUUCAACUAUUCUGAACAUCAGCACAGAAGGAGCUUUUACACUGUGAACAAUCAACCAGCACAGCCAUGGCCUCCCUCGGUGGUCUGUUGCCAAGGGGAACAGUCCUUGCUGAAUGAUAGAAAUAUAGAGUUAAGGAAAGACGGAGAGACAGAGCAGCCUUGAGGUACAGAAGAAGAGAUGGUCGUCACCGACAGGAGUUCGAGCACUCCUGUGCCCAAGAAGCAGGAACCAAAGAAGAAGAAGAGGAAGUCCCGCCCCCAUGGCCUGCCCUCCCCAGCGUUGUGCUGUGCAUGCGGCCUGUGCAUCAUGCUGGCAGGCAUCAACAUCACCCUGGUGGGGGCAUUCGCCUUCAGCACCUUGGUGCCCUCUGCCAACCCUCCCAUCAUCAUAGGGCCCAUCCUGCUCCUGGUGGCCUUCUCUUUCUUCGGAGCGUGCUGUGUCUGCAGCCGCCUGCCCCCCGCCCAGGGCUCCCGGAGAUCGAAGGUGGGCGGGAGGAGCAUGGGGAUGAUGGGGCGGGGAGGUUUAGCUGGGGGAGCGACGUUUGAGAUCGAGACAAGUGAGCACACUUUGCAGGACACCACGGCAGUACAGCUCAGCCCCUCGGCCUCACCGGGGUCAUCACGGGCGUCCAGCCCCGAACGGGAUGCUCCUGACCCCGCCCCCCCAGGGACCUGCAAGCUCUUCACCAUGGAGACCAAUGGCCCCACCUCCACCACGGCCUACUACUCUGCCGCCUCGGCCGGAGGAGGGGCUGUGAGGCUCAACCUGCCACGUGAUGAUAUGGCCACCUAGCACAGCCCUGACUUACGCACUGAAGCAAGAGCUUCAUGCCCCAGGGGACUGAUGCAAAACUAUCCAAACAGUAAUUAGCAUGCAAUUCAACGUUGAAGGAACGUGGGUGACGGUUUCGUUGGAAUUGAUGUUCCUACCUCCUCAGAACUGUUCUCUUUAGAAUCCUCUCUUAACAUGCAUGGGGCAUUAUUAUAAGCAGUUUCUAACCAGAAAGCAAAAUGAGGGAAUUGAAGCGUUUUCUCUCUGGCAUUUCUGAGGGGUAAAACAAAGUGAUGUGUCCCAUUUCUUUGACCGUCUGGACCUCAGUGAUGGACAUUUCAGCCGAUUACUCUGACGCAACUUUGUUGUUGUUGCCAGAACUGAAAGGUUUGACACGAAAUGGCAAUGAGUUUAAUGCUAUCAUUUAAAUACUUAGUGAUGUUUGACAUUACAGUAUGUGCUGCUUUGGUCUUAAAUUAGAUUCAAAGAUGGGGUCGCAAGAUUCCUUUGCAAUAUAAUCUCAACUGAAAGGAUCAGCAACAGAGGACUAAUAUUAAUUUUUCCUCAAUUGUUUCUACAGACAAAACAUUAUGGAUGAUAUGCAGUGUACAUCAGUGGCCUGCGGGCCAAAACUGGGUCGCAAGUGAUUCGUUUUUUGGAAUCAGAAUUUUUACUACAAACAUAGAAAUGCGCCAUUUUCCCAUACAGUGGCAAGAAAAUCCUUUGGCAUUACCUGGAUUUCUGCAUAAAUUGGUCAUAAAAGCCACAACAAUAAACAAACAGUCUGCUUAAACUCAUAAACAAUUAUACGUACUCAUGUCUUUAUUGAAUACCCUGUGUAAUAAUUUUUUUAUACCUUUUAUUUAACUAGGCAAGUCAGUUAAGAACAAAUUCUUAUUUUUAAUGACAGCCUAGGAACAGUGGGUUAACUGCCUGUUCAGGGGCAGAACAACAGAUUUGUACCUUGUCAGCUCAGGGGUUUGAAUUUGCAACCUUCCGGUUACUAGUCCAACGCUCUAACCACUAGGCUAAGCUAACCACUUUAUGAAACUGUUUCAGUUCAGCAAUAUUCUUGGGAUGUCUGGUGUGAUCUGCUCGAUGUCAUGCCACACCAUUUUAAAUCAGCUUGAGGUCAGGACUCUGACUGGGCCACUUAAUUAAGGUAUAUUUUCUUCUGUUGAAACCAUUCUGUUGUUGAUUUACUUCUGUCUUUUGGGUUGUUGUCCUGUUGCAUCAUCCAACUUCGGUUGAGCUUCAAUUGGGGGACAGAGAGCCUUACAUUCUCCUGCAAAAUGUAUUGAUAAACUUGGGAGUUCAUUUUUCCGUCGACGAUAGCAAGCUGUCCAGGCCCUGAGGCAGCAAAGCAGCCCCAAACCAUGAUGCUCCCUCCACCAUACUUUACAGUUGGGAUGAGGUUUUGGUGUUGGUGUGCUGUGCCUUUUUUUUUCUCCACAGUUGUGUGUUCCUUCUAAACAACUCAACUGUUUCAUCUGUCCACAGAAUAUUUUGCCAGAAGCGCUGUGGAACAUCCAGGUGUUCUUUUGCGAACUUCAGACAUGCAGCAAUUAUUUUUUUGGACAGCAGUGGCUUCUUCCGUGGUGUCCUCCCAUGAACAACGUUCUUGUUUGGUGUUUUACAUUUCUUAGACUCAUCAACAGAGAUGGCAUGUUCCAGAGAAUUCUGUAAGUCUUUAGCUGACACUAGGAUUCUUCUUAACCUCAUUGAGCAUUCUGCACUGUGCUUUUGCAGUCAUCUUUGCAGGGCAGCCACUCCUAGGGAGACUAGCAAGAGUGCAGAAAUUUGUCUUACCGUGGACUGAUUUUAGAGAAUUUUGUAACCCUUUCCAGCUUUUUGCAAGUCAACAAUUCUUAAUCUUAGGUCUUCUGAGAUCUCUUUUGUUUGAGGCAUGAUUCACGUCAGGCAAUGCUUCUUGUGAGUAGAAAACUCACAAAAUGUGAGGUUUUUUUUAUAGGGCAGGGCAGCUCUAACCAACAUCUCCAAUCUGUCUCAUAGGUUAGCUGACUCCUGACUCCAAUUUAGCUUUUGGAAAUGUCAUUUGCCGAGGGGUUCACAUACUGUUCCCAACCUACACUGUGAAUGUUUGAAUUAUGUAUUCAAUAUAUGUUGUGUGUUAUUAGUUUAAUCACUCUGUGUUUGUCCCUUGUCUAUGAAGAUCAGAUCAAAUUUUAUGACUAAUUUAUGCUGAAAUCCAGGUAAUUCCAAAAGGUUCACUUACUUUUACUUUUUCUUGCCACUAUGAUGAUGUUGGGGUAGUGCUGGACAUGAUUUCAUAUGAAUUCGAAAAUGUUUGACAUGUUCCGUUAGGUAUAGCCCUAUGUCUAACAUGGACAUCACACCAAGAUCCAAACUGCUUUAAUAUUGAUUCAGAAGAUUGAACAUGCUUUGAUUUUCGAUACAGAAUAAACAACGUCUUUCUUGAACUGCAUUGUUGGUUAAGGGCUUGUAAGUAGCAUUUCACGGUAAGGUUGUAUUUGGCGCAUGUGACAAAAAGUUUGAUUUGAACUAGAGUUUACCAUGUCCCAGCCAAGUAUUUUGUCAUAGCCUAAUAUUUGUAUUUUAUGUGAGGAAAGUCAACUCCCCCCUACAGGGAGUGGGCUUGUUGUAAAUGUGUGUAGUGUCAAGAUGUAUGUAAACUAUCAAUGUUGGCCAUGUAUUUCAAAAUGUAUUCUGG